GUAAUUAUAGUUUAUAAAAACACUAGACUGUGAAUCUAGAGAUAGAAGAUUACACUUCUUAUUUACC
rnacentral:tRNA from 1 species